ACGGAAGCCCGGUGAGGCCAAGGUCGAUUCGGAAGAGAAGAAUCGGUCUCCCGAUCCGGGCGGCCCAGCACGGAUACCGGCACCCACGCGGAGCUACAGCCGCGAUAAUGGCAGAAGUGUUGCGGGCCUGCGUAAUUGCGAAGAUCGGACGGUGUCGACGACCCUUUGGGUGGGGUUGCAGCCGGACACUUCGCAAGAUCGCCGAGGCCAACCCACGCAACCCGAAGUUGCACGCUUGGUAACCGAGUUCCGUGCUAGCGGGCGGCGCGCCGAGACCAUUCGGAUCGUCGCCCGCUUCACAUG
rfam:Mycobacterium xenopi 3993 GMX3993.contig.24, whole genome shotgun sequence.